GAGCCUGACUGGGGAGACGAGAACUGCUAAUUACUCGCCGCUAUGGUUCAAUUCCAUAGUAGACUCG
rnacentral:tRNA from 1 species